GCGGUUGUCUCCAAUGUCAGAUGCUCAGUUUUCUCCAUAUGUUGGUGGAAUGGCGUUUUCUCCUUCUUCAUCUCCAGGCUACAGCCCAUCUUCUCCUGGUUACAGUCCUACUUCUCCUGGUUACAGUCCGACUUCACCUGGAUACAGUCCGACUUCUCCUGGCUAUAGUCCCACUUCUCCCACGUACAGUCCUAGUUCUCCUGGCUAUAGCCCAACUAGCCCUGCUUAUUCUCCAACAAGUCCUUCAUAUUCUCCCACCUCCCCUAGCUACAGCCCAACGUCUCCUAGCUACAGCCCAACGUCUCCAAGCUACAGUCCAACGUCUCCAAGCUACAGCCCAACAUCCCCGAGUUACAGUCCAACUUCACCUGCUUACAGUCCAACUUCUCCUGCAUACAGCCCAACGUCACCUGCAUACAGCCCUACCUCUCCAUCUUACAGUCCAACUUCACCAUCUUACAGUCCGACAUCGCCUUCUUACAGCCCUACUUCACCCUCCUACAGUCCAACAUCUCCUUCUUACAGUCCUACUUCACCUGCAUACAGCCCUACAUCUCCUGGGUACAGCCCUACAUCUCCAAGCUACAGUCCAACGUCUCCUAGUUACGGUCCGACGUCUCCAAGCUACAACCCUCAGUCUGCUAAAUACAGUCCAUCUCUGGCUUACUCCCCUAGCAAUGCAAGACUAUCACCAGCUAGCCCUUACAGUCCUACAUCUCCAAACUACAGGUCAGUAGUAAUCUGCUCUGUAGUGUUUUUUUUUCUAUCUACCACUGUGAAGCUGUCAUAAUCCCUUGUCGUUUCUUUAUUUUGUUAACUAUUCAUAAAUUUUCUUACUCUGCAGCCCUACAUCACCAUCCUACUCACCCACAUCUCCAUCGUAUUCACCUUCAAGUCCAACAUACAGUCCCAGCAGGUUCGGUUUUUACCCACUUGAAUCUGUUGUAUGCAUCGCUGUCAUUUAGACCAACUUCACCAACUACAUUUUCUUUGGCAUUUGGGUUCUGCAAAGUUGUUGUUUCUUAUUGUUGUAUCUGUCUCACUCCAUAGAUUUUCUGUAGUGUGCGUCGAUGACAUUUAGAAUAACUUCACCAACUACAUUUUCUUUUGCAUUUGGAUUCUGCAAAAGUGUAACUGAGUUGUUAUUCUUUUUGUUGAAAUCUGUCUCAGCCCAUACAGCUCAGGAGCAAGCCCUGACUACAGCCCAAGCGCAGGUUACUCACCAACACUUCCUGGUUAUUCACCCUCAUCCACCGGUCAGUAUACACCACAUGAGGGUGAUAAAAAUGACAAGACUGGAAAAGAUGCCAGCAAGGAUGAUAAAAGCAACCCUUGAAAGGAAUUCAAACGUGUAGGUAACGUUUAAAUCUCUUGGAACCAUUGGAUUUAGAACUCAAUAGUAGCUUGCUCACAAACCGAAGCCAUCACAUGUUAUUUCUUGUAACCAGAAGCAGCAGUGGAUGAUGCUGUGAGAUAGAAAGAAGAAACCGUUUCAAAGUCGUCUCCUUUGUGACAGUUUUCUUUCUAAGUAGUUCCUCUAUGUCGUGCUUUGUAUAAAUUGUUCUAAACUUUUUCAUAAAGCUACCCAUCAUGGAUCCAAAAGAGAACAAUAUGAACAUCAUAGUCUUUGGUCUUUUCUGUCUGGUUGUUGAGUUCUUGUCUUGUUGGAUUUCAGAAACUUAAAACAUAUUUAACUGUUUUCAAAUAUUACCAUGACUAUGCAAUUUUUUUAAAACAUUGUUCUGCUUUAUUUUUAUAAUGGAUAUAUGCAUAAUCAAGCAUAAAAAACUAUUAGUAAGAGUUUGCAGAGUAUCUCACAAAAAAUAAUAGUAUUGUUUUGGAGAUCAAUUGGUCUAGUUCCUUUUAGUUUGGAGAUGAUCAUUAAUUGCAUUUGGGACAACAAAUCUCUCUAUAAAAUUUGAUAACUUUUCAAAGUAAAUAUUCAUUAUAUAGCUUAGCCAUAAUAUCAAGAAUAUUUUUAUUUUCAAAACAGAUUAUGAUAGAAGAGAAUCCAGCUUAUCAAUUUCACAAUCUUUCUAUUUUUUUGUGUGGUUCUUCAUGAAUUAUUGGAAGUUUGCCAUUAGAUCAAUAUAUCACAACAAAAUCAUGUCUCAAGUACCAUAUUAGAUGGUUAAGAGAUUGUCAUGAUUUUUCAUGUUCAUGAAUCAAAAGUUUUGUGAGUUAAGAAAAAAAAUGGUUUUUUACUUUUGUUGGUUCUUGAUCUCGACAUAAACAUAAAUAUGUGUAAUAUGGUUUAAGUCUUUAUCCUAAAAACAAAUUUUAUGGAUUAUAGUCGUUACAUUAUACUCAUAUUUUCAGUGACAACAUAAAAAGAACAAAUCCAAAAUAUGGAUUAAAAAAAGGAGAUAGCGCAAAGACAAAAAGAAAAAAUGCACAAAAUUUGAAAUUACUUUCAACUGACCGUCAAAAACGAAUUUCUUCUAUUCUACGACAAGACUUUUCCCAAGGCAUUUAGAAGCUUUGUGAAUGACUGCAUGACCAACAUGGAGCUGCUUUCGUUGACUCAUGUCUUUGUUGAUGCAUAUGAUGACACUUGGGACUUCGUCAUGAUAGCCAUCCACUUGGCUCAUGGAAAGUCACCAUUUGUUCCUUUCCACAUUUCUUAAUUGAUUAGAUUUUGAAUCCGACAAUACUUGUUCUUUAAUGUAAAGAUUUUUUAUAUUCAUGUUUCUUAAUUGAUUAGAUUUUGAAUCGACAAUACUUGUUCUUUAAUGUAAAGAUCAUUGGAGCUCUUUCCAUGUGGCUCUCCCUCAUUUUCUAAUAACGUAAUGUUUAAUUCAAAAUCAAAAUGUGUUGGUUUAUUGUGGACUAUCGUGGCAAAAUAAUAUAAGAUCCAGAUUCAUGCUGGUGUGAUUUUUUUCCGGUACUAUUUUAUUUUAAUUAAGUUUAUUCGAAGAUGAUUUCCUGUACUAAAACUUGAAAGCAGGGAAAACCAAACCGAGCGAGAAGAAUGAGCCAGACAAAAAAAUUAAAAUCCGAGUUGAUUCUCAUUUUCGAUGCGUAGUGCACCAUAAGAAACGUGAGUAUUGCAACAGGCAAUUACUUACUAGAGGUGUGAUAUUAAAAAAAUUACCAGAUUACGGUUUAGAUUAGUUAAUAUUUGGAAUAUAAGUAUAUAUUUACUUCUUUAAUGAAAUAUUUUGGUCAUUUUGAUCUUUAGAAUCUAUAUUUGUGAGAGAAAUUUUUUAGUGUUAUCCUAGGGUAUUUCCCUUUAUAAAAUAGAAAAAUAAAUAUAAAAAAUUUUGAAAAUAAAAUUUUGAAAGUUUUUUUUUUUUUUUUUAAAAAUUUAUAAAGAAUUUUAAAUUUAAAAAUAUAUAAUCCCAAAACAAGUCCUUUUGUUUCUGUUCCAACGUUCAUAAAAUUCUGAAAAGUAAAGUUUUCGAACAUUCUCAUCUAAAACGAACAACGAAUAUAACAAUGUACAGAGAGUUAGAUAUGAGAUGAUAACUCAUACUCUUCCCUCUACAUUCACAUGAAUACAAAUAUUCUCUUGAAAUGCGAAAUGCAAUUCAUUAAAAAGCAGUUGCAGAGCAGCGGGAUUCAGAGCCACACGCGGCCAGUCCCAAAAAUAUAAAUACGGCCAUACUUAGCCAAAGCAAACAGCCAACAAGGCUAAUCUCGAGGCAGACAAAGGUCCAAUACAAAAAGCCACCAGCAGCAACAUGCUCGAUAAUCUCUUCGCAAAACAUAAACUAAACCGUAAAGGUUUCAUUUGAAAAUAAGGUUGUGAGACUUUUAACUCCAAGAUGAACUACGAAAGACUUAAUCCCUUCAACAAGGAUACGUAGACAACCUUCAAAAGGUGCAGCCCCAAUCUUAACAUAGUCCACUACUUGUAGAAAUAUAAAAACGAGAUGACUUUCCGUAAUCUCAAGCCGCUAAUUUUGCUACAACUCCAUUACCCCCUUGACAUUGAGGGGGCAUAUAGAAGGGUCUAAGAGAUCGUAAAUAUUAUUGUCAAUAUUGGAUAUUUAUUAUAUAAGAUAUUCACAUAUAUUUGUAUCAAUAUAGUUUAGGAAACAUCUCUAGUAUAAAUAUACAUGUAACUCUAACCAUGAUCCUUAUGAGAAUCAAUACAAUAUUCUUCUACUCUCAUCAUUAUCAACAUAACCCAGCACCGUGUCUAUGCUCUUCUCUGGAACCGCCACACGGGUGACUCCCGUUUCUACAUCCUCCACCGCAACCGCUUGGUUAUCGUCGGGUCGCUUCCUACCAUGUCUCCCCACGCAAGCUUUGUCCCGGUGGGUUCCAAGACAUACGUGUUCAACGAUCUCGAAGCCCUCAGUGUCGACUGCGCCUCUUACACGCUGAAGCCAAUCUCCGACAUGCCUCAACGCAUGCUUAGAAAAGUACCUAACGUCGUUGACGGGAAGGUGUACCUGAUCGGUGAUUCCUUUUGUCGUUUCGCCCAUAGAGAUUGGUGCUCUUUGGUCUGAUGCUGUGGUGUUGGAGGAUAAGCUUUGGUUUAAAAGCUAUACGAGUCAGCACGCUUUUGUUUACGAACCAGAGGGAAAACAAGUGGGAGUUGAUGAACGAGGUGUUGAACUCUAAGGACCGGUGGGAGGGUGCGUGUGUGAUUGAUGAUGUCCUCUACUAUCACGAUCCUUCUGGGGAGAAGGCGUUUAGCCGUUGGAGUGUUGUCAACGGUUUGGAGGAGUUUUUGGCUGCGGAGGUGACCGAUCAAUCGAUGUGGUCCAGAGUGGUCAAGUGUGGGGAGAAGAAGUUGGCUCUCUUUUUUCCUAAAAAACGUGACGGCAAUGAGGUCAUUUGCUGUGCAGAGAUUGCUUUGGAAUGGCCCCAAGGUGGAGGAGAGAUUUGGGGUAAGGUGUUGUCCUGUGAUGUUGUCCUUGAGGAUGGGAGGUUUGUCAUGGUGAAGUGUGUGUCUGUCACUGUUUGAUGCACAGCAUAAAAACUCUGUUUUACAUCUUUCGUAAUUUAGUUAAAUCCUAAAUACCAUCUAGUGUGAUUGUAAGUUUGCUAACAUCGUUAGUGUAAGACAAAACCUGUGCUAUGUUCUGUUAAAUUUGUUUAUGUUUUUAUCUUGAAUCGUUUCCUUAUACAUGAUGUUUGCAUCGUCACUGGUUUAACUUAGUAUGCGUAAUUGGAAAUGUAGUCAGUUUUAGACAAUUUAUGUUAGGUUCAUGCUCAACUUAUGAUGCAAACGAAAGCUAAGGUUCGCUAAUGUUUGGUUCCCGUGUUCAACUAUGAUGCAAGCCUUUGAUAAAAGAACUAACUUAUUGUUGCUUCUAUAAAAAAUACAUAACAAUGUAAACAUUAUUUUAUUUAUUUUUUUGUAAACUUAUAGAAAUUAUUAAAAGUUUCAAAAGAAAAUUAAAAAACAAUACUGAAUUACAUCACCCCGCCCACAUGAACGUAAUUCAACGUACGGCAUAUAUGAAGAAAACAGCUCCGACCACCCUCGCUUGUUUUAGUUGAGUAUUUUAUUUUAUUGUUUUCUUUGGUAAAAGUUUUUUUUUUCAUAGUGUUACUCAUAUUUUAAAAUAACAAAACCUCUUAAUCUCUUUUUUUUUAAGCAAUCUCUCUUAAUCUCUUUUAAAUUAACGAAAUCUCUUUAUUAAAAUUUCACGCUCAUGUAGUUGUGAAGGCCAACUAUCUAGUUUAUAAUAAUGUUAAACUGAUAGUAACUCAAGUAACUAAUUUUAGAAACCCUUGAAAGAGAGACAUUCAAAGUUUUAGGCAACGUCUAAAAUCUCUUGGAACCAUUGAUUUUAGAAUUCCUACAAGCUCACAAACCGAGCCACAUGUUAUUUGGUGUAACCAGGAUCAGCAGGGGAUGCUAAGAAAAAGCAAGAAACCGUUUCAAAGUCAUUUCCUGGGGAUAACUUUGUCGUGAUUUGUAUAUUGUUCUAAACUUACCCAUAAAAGGAAACAAUAUGAACAAAAUCGUCAUAAACUUUUAGCUUUUUAGUAUGGUUUUUGAGUUGUUGCUUUGUUGGAUUUCAUAAAGUAAAAACAUUUUAAACGUUUUGUUGUGAUACAUGUGUAAGGAUUUUUAUGUUACUGUUUCUUCGUGGAGUAGGUUUCGAAUCGAGAAUACUUGGUUCCGACAAAAGUUUUGAUUGCCAUGUGUUUCAACAACUGGAUUUUCCGAUGUGGAUUUUAGAGAAAGAGUUCCGGAAUAAGGAGUUUUAUUCGAUUCGUUUCUUGUUUAAUUUGCCAUUAAAGGAUAAUUACUGGAACUUAUCGGAUUCUUUAAAUAUAAUUUUCUUCAUGUUCUAGAUUUCCUGGUUAAUACAUAAUACUAUGAAAUUUUGAAAAACUUUUUUUUUUGAAAAGCAAGUUUGAUGAGGAUGAAGGAUUCAAGACAUCGGAGGAGUGGAUGUUAGAUACAGAAGGCGUUAAUCUGCUGGCUGUUAUGUGCCACGAAGAUGUGGAUCCAAAGAGGACAACAAGCAAUCACUUGAUUGAGAUUAUUGAAGUUCUUGGAAUUGAAGCAGUUCGUCGUGCUUUGUUGGAUGAGCUUCGAGUUGUGAUAUCCUUUGAUGGCUCUUAUGUGAAUUACCGCCAUCUUGCCAUAUUGUGUGAUACAAUGACCUAUCGAGGUCAUCUGAUGGCGAUCACUCGACAUGGUAUCAACAGAAAUGAUACUGGGCCUCUGAUGAGGUGCUCAUUUGAAGAAACGGUCGAUAUUCUGCUGGAUGCUGCAGCUUAUGCUGAGACAGACUGCUUGCGUGGUGUUACGGAAAAUAUUAUGCUCGGCCAGCUUGCACCUAUUGGAACAGGAGACUGCGAACUCUAUCUGAAUGAUGAGAUGCUGAAGAAUGCAAUUGAACUUCAGCUCCCUAGCUAUAUGGAUGGACUGGAGUUUGGAAUGACUCCUGCUCGCUCGCCAAUGUCAGGAACUCCUUAUCAUGAAAGCAUGAUGUCCCCAAACUACCUCCUGAGUCCAAAUAUGCGGUUGUCUCCAAUGUCAGAUGCUCAGUUUUCUCCAUAUGUUGGUGGAAUGGCGUUUUCUCCUUCUUCAUCUCCAGGCUACAGCCCAUCUUCUCCUGGUUACAGUCCUACUUCUCCUGGUUACAGUCCGACUUCACCUGGAUACAGUCCGACUUCUCCUGGCUAUAGUCCCACUUCUCCCACGUACAGUCCUAGUUCUCCUGGCUAUAGCCCAACUAGCCCUGCUUAUUCUCCAACAAGUCCUUCAUAUUCUCCCACCUCCCCUAGCUACAGCCCAACGUCUCCUAGCUAUAGCCCAACGUCUCCAAGCUACAGUCCAACGUCUCCAAGCUACAGCCCAACAUCCCCGAGUUACAGUCCAACUUCACCUGCUUACAGUCCAACUUCUCCUGCAUACAGCCCAACGUCACCUGCAUACAGCCCUACCUCUCCAUCUUACAGUCCAACUUCACCAUCUUACAGUCCGACAUCGCCUUCUUACAGCCCUACUUCACCCUCCUACAGUCCAACAUCUCCUUCUUACAGUCCUACUUCACCUGCAUACAGCCCUACAUCUCCUGGGUACAGCCCUACAUCUCCAAGCUACAGUCCAACGUCUCCUAGUUACGGUCCGACGUCUCCAAGCUACAACCCUCAGUCUGCUAAAUACAGUCCAUCUCUGGCUUACUCCCCUAGCAAUGCAAGAC
rnacentral:lncRNA from 1 species